AAACAUGUCUGAAUGAAAAGAUGUUUGGUUUUACCUGCUCAGUGCAGUAAAUAGCUGCAGUAUUUUGACUGUACAAAGGUAGCAUAAUAAUUAGUCUUUUAAUUGGGGGAUGGAAUGAAGGGUUUGACGGAGUAUUUUUAUUUCAAUUGAAUUUAUAUUUUAAGUUAAAAUACUUAGUUUGUUAAAAGGGACGAUAAGACCCUAUAGAAUUUAAUAUGUUGAGAUAUUUGUUGGGGUGACUAAACAAACAUUUAUUUUAUAUUUAUAUAUAGUGAUCCUUAGAUAAAAAGUUAAAGUUACCUUAGGGAUAACAGCAUAAUUUUUUUUAGAAGGUCUUAUUUAAAGAAAAGAUUAUGACCUCGAUGUUGAAUUAAUUGUUUUAGGGUGCAGAAGUUUAAAU
rnacentral:rRNA from 1 species